AGAGCCAUGCGAGGCGCGAGGAGCAGGCAGCCGGAGGGCUCCGUGUCACAAAGGCUGCCGGGGCAGCACGCGAGCCAGAGUCACGACAAGCCCGGGUCCCAGGCUCGCUGCUGCCUCAAAUCUCAUCCGGUCCCAAAGCCAGCUGCCCUGCAGAGAGGAGCCUACCGGCACCGGGCACGUCUGUGGGAGGGCGAGGCUGGGAGAAAGGCACUGAGCUAAAGAUGAGAAGAAGCGUUCCCUGGAGCCUGCAUGGCAUCAAUCAUGAGAAUGGAUGUUGAGGGUUAUGCACCCCACUGAGGCAGCACUGAAUGCCAGAUCCCAAGUUACAGAGAUGAUCUACCCCAACCGAAGAUACUUAAAACGAUGUGAACAAAUUUUUGAAGACAAUUGCAGGAGGUAAAUUAGAAAGAUGAAAAUAAUACCUUAAAGAAAGCAUCUGUAGUCUCCUAAGGACACCGAUGGGAGGAUGUGGUGGUGAUGGAGGCAGAGCUGUGAAGAACUGAGAGGCUAUUAGAAAACCGCGGUGGAACAGUGGCUGGGGAAAAGGAUUGUAUUUGCUGGGGCUGCUAUUAAAAAGUACCGUGAACUGAGUGGCUUAAACACCAGAAAUUAUUCUCUCACAGUUCUGGAGGACUAAAGUCCAAAAUCAAGCUGUGGGCAGGGUGGGUUUCCCUGAGAGCUGCAAGUGAAGGAUCUGUUCCAGGCCUCUCUCCUUGGCUGAUUUCCUGGCAAACAGAAAAAGCUCUCUUGGUCUUUAAAGUUCAUGACAGAUUCCCUAAGUGUUUGUAAAACAUCUGCCAACCACACUGAUGGGCUCUCACACAAAGGUUUUGGAAAUACAGACUGAUUUCCUUUGGUUACUAAAACUGAUUUUUUUUUUUUUUUUUGGUUACUACAAUUGAUUUUAUCUCUAUAAUUUUCUUCUCUGUCAUCUUAUUUUAAACAAAAACCGUGGCACAAAAAUAAAGUGAUGGUUUUUGAGGAAAA
rnacentral:lncRNA from 1 species